CAUUUCCCUGCUUGGAAAAAUCCUUCUGUCUAUUCCAUUCUGAUUUCAGUAGGAAAUCUAAAAGUAUGGGAGAGAGAAACAUUAUGUCAGAACCAAGAUCCACGGUACAUAUCUAAAAAAAAAUAAGUUAUCCAUAUUUGAUGGCCAAGUUGUUUCUCUGGAAAAGGAAUCAUCUUGACUGUUAUCUUAAAAAUGCACAACAACUUUAGAAAUAAAGCACUGGUUGGUGCCCACGAGAUUUGAAUUCUUAUCUCAUCCUGACCUGAAUUUUCCAUCUAAUUAAGGUCUAAUUCUGAUUAAUUUGGCAGCUCGCUGCCAUUUUUUUCCUAUGUAAAUAUUCCUUGUGGGUUUCUGGAUCUCAGUUGUGCUCUCUGUAGAAGGGGCUGAGGAUCCUGCUGAGCUUGUGGGGGGCUGUGUGGCCAAGCACAGUAUUUAUAAAAUGGCAGUUUGUUGUUUGUAAGGUGCUACGGAACUGCUCUGUAUUCUAUAUCUGCAAUGAGUUGAUGGGUAAUUGUAGUGUCAUAGCUGUGAUCAUACUGUAUAGUAUGAUCUGUAGAACUUAAUAGUGCAAUAAGAGUUGAAUUAUUUUCCUACAGGACAUGGGCCACCACUUCCUGAGCAAAGAAGUGGCUUCGGUUUGGAAGCCCUCAGUCAGGAGAGCAGAACCAGUUUGAAACUGGACACGUGAACACACAACACAGCCUUGUUUCUUACAGUGUUAAAACUGGUUUCUUUUUGUGUUUCUUGAGUAUGUUAGAUACACUAAUGUGGCAUUUAGAGUUUACCUUUCACUCUCUGCAGGAUGUAUUUUACACUGUUUAUAUUACUCGGGGCCAGGUGAGAUCCCCUGGUCCUUGGUGGGCUGAUGAAAAGUCCUGGAAGCUCCCAGCUACAAGGCAGGGCAAUAAUUGCUCUGGAUUUAUAGUACCAUUGUAUCCCUCUCUAGGGACACUAUAAAUUCAAAUUCCUUUCCUGCUUCAUAGAUAUUCCUGGGAACAAAACCAAUUUUACACACUGAAAGCAAAACAGUGGAUUGUGCUCAUGCACAUUGCUUUGCAUGAUCCCAUCUGGGAUAGGAUGGAUGAAGGAAAGGAUGUCCAAGAAAAGUACAAACAGCUACACUUCUUAUGUAUUUGUAUGUCUGUGCAUGUUGAUAUUUAUAUUUGUCUGAGACCAGCAGUGACAACCAGGAGAUAGCUCAGUAAUGCCAGUUUUUUAUCUUUUCACCUUUUAUUUACUCAGGCUCUGUACAGUAACAUUCCUCAGUUAAAGUGAACCGUCUGAAUGACUUGGUUUUGAAACUUUUUCUUUCUUUUUUUAAUCUCUUGACCCCAUCAGAGGCUGUAAUCAAGGUGUUUAUACAACAAUAUUUCCUUUUUUUCAGUGUUAUAGCACCGUAACAUGAGCAGCUCCACCAUGCCACAGGUAUCUGUCAUUCCACAGAUUUGCUGAAUCACAGUAAAAAGUCACAUUGUCUGACUUUUCAAGACUGAAGGGAAGACAUGCAGGUGCACUCCAUUCCAGCAGCAAUAAUCACAGGAAAUAUGGAAAACAUACAGUACCAAAUUGUGCUUUUUGGACACAUUUGUGUAAUGUUGCCUUCCAUGGACUAGAGAAAUGAAGCUUGGAUUAAAGCUCACUCCACUGGGGAGAAAACAGAUUUUCUUUUCCAGUGUCUUCAAACAGAAAGCAAAAGCUUUUUCAGACGUUGUCCUGCCUUGUUCUGACUGCAAAUUCGAGAAUCUGUUUCACAUCUAUGCCUGAAAUGGAAGGAGCUUCCUGAGUGGAUUUACCUGGUGAUGGUAAAGCCUGAGCAAUGAUCCCAUGUGUCUUCUGUGAUGUGACAUAAAGCUACAGGUGUCAACAAGACUCUAAGAAAGAAGUCUGUUCUCUGAGCUGCUGGAGAACAAGGGCAGCUCAGGCCACCCCAAACCUCGGGAGAUCGAUGGUGUCAGCAGCUGAUGAUCUAAUUCGGGAUUAUUUGGGUCAGACUCUUUUAUCCCAGACACACAAAGGAGAUGAACACGACCCCUCUGACAGAGUUAACCAGAAGUUAUGAGCAUUAAUUUCCUGCCUCCCAGCACUGGUUGCCUGACUGUCUUGAGCUGAUGCCUGAAGCACAUUGAGGACAAAAGGAGCUGCAGACAGAGG